GAUCAUGGCUCAGAUUGAACGCUGGCGGAAUGCUUUACACAUGCAAGUCGGCGGCAGCGCGGGGGCAACCCUGGCGGCGAGCGGCGAACGGGUGAGUAACACAUCGGAACGUACCCUGUCGUGGGGGAUAACGAAUCGAAAGAUUCGCUAAUACCGCAUACGACCUGAGGGGGAAAGCGGGGGAUCGCAAGACCUCGCGCGAGAGGAGCGGCCGAUGGCGGAUUAGCUAGUUGGUGGGGUAAAGGCCCACCAAGGCUUCGACGGGUAGCCGGCCUGAGAGGGUGACCGGCCACACUGGGACUGAGACACGGCCCAGACUCCUACGGGAGGCAGCAGUGGGGAAUAUUGGACAAUGGGCGGAAGCCUGAUCCAGCAACGCCGCGUGAGGGAUGACGGCCUUCGGGUUGUAAACCUCUUUCAGUACCGACGAAGCGCCGAUGAUGGUGGUGACGGUAGGUACAGAAGAAGCACCGGCCAACUACGUG
rnacentral:rRNA from 1 species